rnacentral:rRNA from 2 species
CGAAAGCCUGACGCAGCGACGCCGCGUGAGGGAGGAAGGCCUUCGGGUUGUAAACCUCUUUCAGGAGGGACGAAGCUACUCGGGUUAAUAGCCCAGAGGGUGACGGUACCUCCAGAAGAAGCCCCGGCUAACUACGUGCCAGCAGCCGCGGUAAUACGUAGGGGGCAAGCGUUGUCCGGAUUUACUGGGCGUAAAGAGCGUGUAGGCGGCCAAACAGGUCCGUUGUGAAAACUGGAGGCUUAACCUCCAGACGUCGACGGAAACCGUGUGGCUAGAGUCCGGAAGAGGAGAGUGGAAUUCCUGGUGUAGCGGUGAAAUGCGCAGAUAUCAGGAAGAACACCAAUGGCGAAGGCAGCUCUCUGGGACGGUACUGACGCUGAGACGCGAAAGCGUGGGGAGCGAACAGGAUUAGAUACCCUGGUAGUCCACGCCGUAAACGAUGGGUGCUAGGUGUGGGAGGUGUCGACUCCUUCCGUGCCGUAGCUAACGCAUUAAGCACCCCGCCUGGGGAGUACGGCCGCAAGGCUA